rnacentral:rRNA from 1 species
CUACGGGAUGCUGCAGUGAGGAAUCUUCCGCAAUGGGCGAAAGCCUGACGGAGCGACACCGCGUGGGGGAUGACACCCUAUCCGGGCGUAAACCCCUGUUCUGAGGGACGAAAUUUUUGACGGUACCUCAGGAGAAAGCACCGGCUAAUUCCGUGCCAGCAGCCGCGGUAAGACGGAAGGUGCAAGCGUUACUCGGAAUCACUGGGCGUAAAGCGUCCGCAGCCGACUUCUUUAGUCCUGCGUUAAAUUGCGGAGCUCAACUCCGUAGCGUGCAGGAAACUGGGAAGAUUGAGUCAUGCAGAGGCAUCUGGAAUGCCGUGUGUAGGGGUAAUAUCCGUUGAUCCACGGUAGAACGCCAAAAGCGAAAGCAGGAUGCUGGGCAUGUACUGACGGUCAGGGACGAAAGCGUGGGGAGCGAAGGGGAUUAGAUACCCUUGUAGUC